rnacentral:pre_miRNA from 1 species
AUCACCCGGGGAUCUUGUUAACAUGCAGACUCUGAUUCGGGAGGUUUGGGGUGGGGCCCAAGAUGCUGCCUUUGUAACAGGCUCCCAGGUGAUGCUGA